UGCGGUUAUACAAAAGUUAAAUUGAAUUUUUUUAGGAUUUAAUAAAUAAAAUUAAUUUAAUAAUUUAAAUUUUGAAUUAUGAGGUGAAAUUUUAAUUCAAUUAAAAUUUAUUUAAUUUUAUGAUAUUAAUAAAUUUUAUAAAAAACUAGGAUUAGAUACCCUACUAUAAAAAUUUAAAUUUAAAAUAAUCUUAAAAUAGUAUAUAAUUUUUUAUAGAAACUUAAAUAAUUUGGCGGUAUUUUAGUUCAUUUAGAGGAAUCUGUCUAAUAAUUGAUAAUCCACGAUUAAAUUUACUUAAUUUUUAAUUUUGUAUAUCGUUGUUAAAAAAAUAUUUUUAAAUAAUUUAUAAUAUUUUAAAAUUUAUAUAAAAAAUUAAAUCAGAUCAAGAUGCAGAUUAUAAUUAAGAAUAUGAUGGAUUACAAUAAAUUUUAUUUUUGGAUAUUAAUUUGAAAUAAGUUAAUUAAAAUUGGAUUUAAAUGUAAUUUUAUUGAUUUUGUUAAAAUGAUUUAAAAUUAAAAUAUGUACAUAUUGCCCGUCGCUUUCAUUUAUAAAUUGAAAUAAGUCGUAACAAAGUAGAGGUACUGGAAAGUGUUUCUAGAAAGAU
rnacentral:rRNA from 1 species